AUUGAACGCUGGCGGCAGGCUUAACACAUGCAAGUCGAGCGGAGACUUCGGUCUUAGCGGCGAACGGGUGAGGAAUGCCUGGGAAUCUGCCUGUUAGUGGGGGAUAACGAAUCGAAAGGUUCGCUAAUACCGCAUACGUCCUACGGGAGAAAGCAGGGGACCUUCGGGCCUUGCGCUAACAGAUGAGCCCAGGUCGGAUUAGCUAGUAGGUGGGGUAAAGGCUCACCUAGGCGACGAUCCGUAGCUGGUCUGAGAGGAUGAUCAGCCACACUGGAACUGAGACACGGUCCAGACUCCUACGGGAGGCAGCAGUGGGGAAUAUUGGACAAUGGGCGAAAGCCUGAUCCAGCCAUGCCGCGUGUGUGAAGAAGGCCU
rnacentral:rRNA from 1 species